rnacentral:rRNA from 1 species
AUGUACGUGGUACGGAUAUGAAAGUUGAAGGACUCCGCUUUCGGGUGGAGAGCGUACACAGGUGCUGCAUGGCUGUCGUCAGCUCGUGUCGUGAGAUGUUGGGUUAAGUCCCGCAACGAGCGCAACCCUGCAUUCAGUUGCCAUCGGGUGAAGCCGGGCACUCUGGAAGGACUGCCAUCGACAAGAUGGAGGAAGGUGGGGACGACGUCAAGUCAUCAUGGCCCUUAUGUCCAGGGCGACACACGUGCUACAAUGGUCGGUACAAAGGGUUGCCAAGCCGCGAGGUGGAGCUAAUCCCAUAAAACCGAUCGUAGUCCGGAUCGCAGUCUGCAACUCGACUGCGUGAAGUCGGAAUCGCUAGUAAUCGUGAAUCAGAAUGUCACGGUGAAUACGUUCCCGGGCCUU